AUGUUUGUUAAACAUAAUUUAUCCAUGUCUAGAUUGAGAGGACAAGGAUAUGAUGGGGCCUCAAAUAUGCGUGGAGAAUUUAAUGGUUUGAAGAAAUUGGUGCUAGAUGUCAAUCCAUAUGCUUUUUAUGUGCAUUGUUUUGCCCACCAACUUCAAUUGGUAGUUGUUGCUGUUGUCAAGGGAGUCCUAGCUGUUAGUGAUUUCUUUGGACAUACAAAUAAGAUUGUCAACAUGGUAAGUGCCUCGUGUAAAAGAAAAGAUGCAUUGUUGCAGAAGCAUCAUGACAACCUGGUUUUACAGUUAGAGCAUGGGGAGAUUUUGUCAGGAAAAGGCGAGCAUCAAGAGACAAGUUUAGCAAGACCCGGUGAUACACGAUGGGGGUCACACCACAAGACUCUAAUCCGGAUAUAUCAAAUGUGGGAUUCCGUGGUUGAAGUGCUACAUGGUAUUUCUCUUGAUGGAGCAGAUGCUGAUGAUAGAGGUUUGGCUUCUGGCUUUAUGAUAAACAUGGAAACAUUUGAAUUUGUUCUUAUCUUGCAUUUGAUGCUUCGAGUGCUUGGUUUAACCAAUGAUUUGUCACAAGCAUUGCAACAAAAAGAUCAGAAUAUAGUCUGUGCUAUGAAUAUGAUUGUGUCAGUGAAAAGUCUAUUACAAAAGUUGAGAGAUGAUGGAUGGGAGCCUCUCUUAAUAUCUACUACUAACUUUUGUGCUGCAAGAAAUAUAAUAGUGCCCAAUAUGGAUGAUAACAUUUCAGCAAGGGGUUACCCAAGAAGAUCACGCAAAAUGGUUACUUGUCUCCAUCAUUACAAGGUAACUAUAUUCAAUGAGGUGUUGGAUAGAAACAUAGUUGAGAUGAAUAAUCGAUUUAGUGAAACUUCUACACGCUUGUUGAAGUGCAUUGCUUGCCUUGAUCCUAGAGACUCAUUUAGCAACUUUGAUCAUGAUAAGCUAGUUGAGCUUGCAAAUAUUUACUCAAUUGAUUUCUCUUCACAAGAGCUCUAUCUGUUGACUGAUCAACUCAACAUAUAUAUUGAUGUGAUGAAAAGAAGUACUGAAUUCUUGGCUUGCGAUAGUUUGAGUUCUCUUGCUCUCAAGUUGGUUCAGAGUAGACAACAUCUGGUAUUCCCAUUGGUUUAUCGGCUCAUCAGACUUGCAUUGACAUUACCGGUGGCAACUGCAUCAGUUGAGAGGGUUUUCUCAGCCAUGAAUAUUAUAAAGACUGAUCUUCGAAACAAGAUGGGUGAUGAUUGGCUUAAUGAUUUGAUGGUUUGCUUUGUUGAGCGCGAGAUAUUUGCUAAAAUUAGUGAUAAAGAGAUUAUGGUUCAUUUUCAUGCCUUGAAGAACCGUCGAGGUCUCAUUUGGAAAUUGGAAUUAUGGGAUCAU
rnacentral:rRNA from 1 species